GGAGAGGUGGCCGAGCGGUUGAAGGCGCACGCUUGGAAAGCGUGUGUAGGUUAACCCCUACCGAGGGUUCGAAUCCCUCCCUCUCCGCCA
rnacentral:tRNA from 1 species